rnacentral:rRNA from 1 species
UACGGAGGGUGCGAGCGUUGUCCGGAAUCACUGGGCGUAAAGGGCGCGUAGGUGGCCUGUGGAAGUCUGCGGUGAAAGCCCGGCGCUCAACCUCGAGACGCCGAUGGAAACCAUGUGGCUAGAGUCCGGAAGAGGAGAGUGGAAUUCCUGGUGUAGCGGUGAAAUGCGCAGAUAUCAGGAAGAACACCCGUGGCUAAGGCGGCUCUCUAGUACGGUACUGACGCUGAGACGCGAAAGCGUGGGGAGCGAACAGG